AAAGCGUGCGCAGGCGGUUUUGUAAGACUGUCGUGAAAUCCCCGGGCUCAACCUGGGAAUGGCGAUGGUGACUGCAAGGCUAGAGUUUGGCAGAGGGGGGUAGAAUUCCACGUGUAGCAGUGAAAUGCGUAGAUAUAGGAAGGAACACCAGUGGCGAAGGCGACCACCUGGACUGAUACUGACACUGAGGUGCGAAAGCGUGGGGAGCAAACAGGAUUAGAUACCCUUGU
rnacentral:rRNA from 1 species